GAUGAACGCUGGCGGCGUGCCUAAUACAUGCAAGUCGAGCGAACAGACGAGGAGCUUGCUCCUCUGACGUUAGCGGCGGACGGGUGAGUAACACGUGGAUAACCUACCUAUAAGACUGGGAUAACUUCGGGAAACCGGAGCUAAUACCGGAUAAUAUAUUGAACCGCAUGGUUCAAUAGUGAAAGACGGUUUUGCUGUCACUUAUAGAUGGAUCCGCGCCGCAUUAGCUAGUUGGUAAGGUAACGGCUUACCAAGGCAACGAUGCGUAGCCGACCUGAGAGGGUGAUCGGCCACCCUGGAACUGAGACACGGUCCAGGCUCCUACGGGAGGCAGCAGUAGGGAAUCUUCCGCAAUGGGCGAAAGCCUGACGGAGCAACGCCGCGUGAGUGAUGAAGGUCUUCGGAUCGUAAAACUCUGUUAUUAGGGAAGAACAAAUGUGUAAGUAACUAUGCACGUCUUGACGGUACCUAAUCAGAAAGCCACGGCUAACUACGUG
rnacentral:rRNA from 1 species